rnacentral:rRNA from 1 species
CCAGACUCCUACGGGAGGCAGCAGUGGGGAAUAUUGCACAAUGGGGGAAACCCUGAUGCAGCGACGCCGCGUGAGCGAUGAAGUAUUUCGGUAUGUAAAGCUCUAUCAGCAGGGAAGAAAAUGACGGUACCUGACUAAGAAGCCCCGGCUAACUACGUGCCAGCAGCCGCGGUAAUACGUAGGGGGCAAGCGUUAUCCGGAUUUACUGGGUGUAAAGGGAGCGUAGACGGCCAUUCAAGCCAGAUGUGAAAGCCCGGGGCUCAACCCCGGGACUGCAUUUGGAACUGUGCGGCUAGAGUGUCGGAGAGGCAGGCGGAAUUCCUAGUGUAGCGGUGAAAUGCGUAGAUAUUAGGAGGAACACCAGUGGCGAAGGCGGCCUGCUGGACUGCAACUGACGUUGAGGCUCGAAGGCGUGGGGAGCAAACAGGAUUAGAUACCCCCGUA